rnacentral:rRNA from 1 species
CUUGGGUACUCGAGUGGCGAACGGGUGAGUAACACGUGGGUGAUCUGCCCUGCACUUCGGGAUAAGCCUGGGAAACUGGGUCUAAUACCGGAUAGGACCACAUUUUGGAUGGUGUGGUGGAAAGUUUUUCGGUGUGGGAUGAGCUCGCGGCCUAUCAGCUUGUUGGUGGGGUAAUGGCCUACCAAGGAGUCGACGGGUAGCCGGCCUGAGAGGGUGUACGGCCACAUUGGGACUGAGAUACGGCCCAG